CAGACUGCACAGAUCCUCUGUCCAUCACACAUUUCCUCAAUUAUAACAUAAGGAAAAAGAUAUAUGUACCGAUAGGGAUAACCGAACCGUGUCCCCCCUCUCACGAAUCAUGUGGGCCCCACGUGUAUUUAAAAAAUCCGAGCCGUGGUUCCCAUCCUAUAUUAUGAGUAUUGGGUAAAAGAUUAGGUAAAAUUUUUAUGUACAUGUAGCAUGGUCCAUAAUAUAAGUGGGUUUAAUUAACUAACGCAUUUUAUUUAAUGGGGCUAUACACCCUUUUAAUAAAGGCAAAAGUCCCAUUUUCUCCAUUCUAACGUAACGUGUUUAAUUAACUAAGACAAUUUAUUUAAAAACUGAAUUUAAUUAAAGUAAAACGGCACAGUGUGGACUUAAUCAAAACAACGUUGCAGGCAAUUUCAAUUUCAGCGAAUGAGAUAUGCUACACCUGACACUUAGGCCGGGAUGAAUCCAGGAAUCUUUUCCAUUGCCUUCACUUCCUCAGGUGAUAAUCUAGCAGCAAAACCUUUAAAAAUAAUAUCAUAGGCAUGGAUAAUGCGAGAUUCCUCAUCUGCUGUGGUUUUGGGCAAAAAUGUUUGAUACUAGCUAAGCAGAUCAUCUGAAGAAUUGGGAGGCGGAUCAACGCGAACAAUAUAUGGUAGCAGAUUACUGUUGCAUAGGAGAGAGAAGAAAAUACAGAAGAAAGUAAGAAACUGCAAGAAACCCAUCAUUCUUUGUGAUUACUGCAAAAGAAAGUAAUAUGUAUGGAAUGCAAUGAAGCUCACAUUAUAGGCGUGCACUAUAAUGACAGUUUCCAGGAUUAAUAACAGAAAACACCCCAGCAAUUGGCUGCCAAGACUUUAUUUUUCACCAGCCAUCAUAUUUCCUUACUCCACCUACUGCCCUAAAUUCCCAACACACAGUGCACAUGUCCACAAGAAAAUACCAAAUAGAUCUGUACUGUCUCUCCAUAGAUUUUAAACAUAUAAUUAUUCAAGAAAGGGCCAAAAUCCCAUAAUUUUAUGUAAAAUAAAUAAAUAAAAAUUGAAGGGAUUUGAUCUAGUUUUCAUACACACGCAACUAGAGGAAAAAAAUGUUAGAAUCCCAUAAAUUAUCGAGGAAAAAAAUGAGGAAAAUUGAUCGGAUAAACGCCCUGUUACGGACGAGUUAAUUUUGAAAAUUUUCCUGCACAUGGAUCCGGAGAUGGUGCUCCGGGGGCUCGGCGGCCAUCCCCUCCAUUUAGGUGCCUCCGCCAGUCCCAUCUCAAUUGACCUCCGCCGGUUUAUCCAUGUUCAUAACAAGUUCUUCCACAAGAGCAUCUCAGUCUCGCCCCAUGUCCAAUCUGUAAGGAACCAAAAUCAGACUCUAUAGCUUAGAUCUCAUAAACAUAACCCAAGAAAUACACAAAUUUCAUCGCACUAAUACCCCAAAAAAUCAUAAUUGAAUGAAUAUCAAAGAGUCCAACCAAACGAGUAACAAGGGCAUCACAGCCAUUGAGAGAAAGCACAAUUCAGGUUUUAACUAAUCGGCGAAUGAAAAGGAGGAAACGGUUUCCACAAUGACUUUUGACCCACAUUUAAGAAAAAAUGCUUAAAAUGUAAAUAAAAGACAAAUGGGCUAAAAUACCCACGAAGAAAAGAAAAGAGAAGAGAAUAGAAGAGAAAAAAAUAAUAAUAAUAAUUUGUGUAGUGGCUCUAAAUUGUGUAAUCUGUAACGAAAAUACAGAGCUGACUCUUAGAAAAUUGAGGCCCUAGGCAACUAAUA
rnacentral:lncRNA from 1 species